ensembl:lncRNA novel transcript
ACAAGAUCUCAGAUUGAGGUCUGUAGAUAGCAUCUUGAGUGUCCAAAAUAGCUUUCUUUGAAUUCUGCAUCGUGUAGAUGCCAGUCUUAUAAUGGAUCUCUCAGUCACAUCAACGCCCGAGUCUAUGGUGAUGAUAAUGUUUGUGCAAAGUGGAUGCCAAGUGACUGCACAAUCAAGGUUUCUGAGUAGUUGAAAUAGAUAAGUCUUGAGUCAAUCAGUACAUCUGUACCACAUUCAUGUGGCAAAUGCUGCUUUAUGGAGAUGUUUCUAAUACUGACCUACAAUAAUUCAGCCAAGAUCACGUUUCUACUGUCUUCAGGAAAUGAGAAAAAUGAAUCCAGGAAAUUUCCAUCUUUAACUAUACUCUGUAAAUGUGCUGUCCAAUACACAGAUAGCUACUGAGCACUGGAAUAUAGCUAGUCUGAAUGGAGAUGUUCUGUUUGACUUUUUUGGACUCCACAUGUGUGAGAUCAUGCAAUAUUUGUCUUUCUGUGCCUGGCUUAUUUCACUUAGCGUAAUGUCCUCCAGGCUCAUCCAGGUUGUUGCAAAAGGCAGGAUUUUCUUCUUUUUUAAGGCUUGGAGAGUCAUUUGUUUUCAUAAGAGGAUAGAGCCCCUGGAUAGCCUCAAGAUGCUGCCAGUUAUCAGAAAGACCAAGGGAUUAAAGAAUUAAAGGGUUGGAACUUUCAACCCCACCCAUUGACCUGAUGGAAGGUGCUGGAGAUUAUAGCCUAUAAAAACUCUUGAACGACGAGAUUUAAUGAGCUUCCUGGUUAUUGAACAUGUGGAGGUGCUGAGAGGGUGGCAAACCGAGAGAAAGAUGAAAACUGUGACAUCCCCUACCCCAGACUUGUAGCCAUCUCUUAAAUCUAGCUGUUCAUCCAUAUCCUGUAUAUCCUUUAAAACAAACCAGUAAAUUCUGAAUCAGGAAGGCAG